CAGUAGCCACGGUAAUACGGAGGGUGCAAGCGUUAAUCGGAAUUACUGGGCGUAAAGCGCACGCAGGCGGUCUGACAAGUCAGAUGUGAAAUCCCCGGGCUUAACCUGGGAACUGCAUUUGAAACUGUCAGGCUGGAGUCUUGUAGAGGGGGGUGGAAUUCCAGGUGUAGCGGUGAAAUGCGUAGAGAUCUGGAGGAAUACCGGUGGCGAAGGCGGCCCCCUGGACAAAGACUGACGCUCAGGUGCGAAAGCGUGGGGAGCAAACAGGAUUAGAUACCCCAGUAGUCCAUGUCUCUUAUAA
rnacentral:rRNA from 1 species